rnacentral:rRNA from 1 species
UACGGAGGGAGCUAGCGUUGUUCGGAAUUACUGGGCGUAAAGCGCGCGUAGGCGGCUUUGUAAGUUAGAGGUGAAAGCCCGGGGCUCAACCCCGGAACUGCCUUUAAGACUGCAUCGCUUGAAUCCAGGAGAGGUGAGUGGAAUUCCGAGUGUAGAGGUGAAAUUCGUAGAUAUUCGCAAGAACACCAGUGGCGAAGGCGGCUCACUGGCCCGAUACUGACGCUGAGGCACGAAAGCGUGGGGAGCAAACAGG